CCAAAGACAUCAGCAUGUCAACAAAGGCUGCCUGCUGGCUGCAGAUGGGCCUGUUGUUUUUGUUAUCUUCCUCUCCGGUACUGUGAAUCUUGGACUACAUUAUCAAGUUAAUGAUAUGAUAUGACGUGACACGCACCGCUUGGUGAGAAAAUGCUUGAGGAGGGUGGGGGGGGGGUGAACAUUUUUGCACGGCGAUGACAAACAAGUCCAAGAAGUCGGCGACACGACAGAUGUCUCGACAGCCCGGCGGUUCUCGUUCUCGGGGGCCGUUCUUCUCACCGUCUCGUUCUCUUCUGCGCUGUAAUCGGUGGCCCGGUUGUUGAGUUCUCCUGCACCGAGUUCCCCUCUCCUUCUCGCUGCAUGAGUCAUCACAAGGAUAAUCAGGGCCAGAGCCGUACAAGGAUAACUCAGCCUGACAGCGCAGACACGCUCUAACGACCAUCGCCAUCCCGUCGAAAGAAUUUUAAAAAGCAAUCGCCACAAAAAGUGGCUGCUGAGGAAAGGGAGAGAGAUUGAUUGGGAGAAUGGAAUGAGUUUAUUUCCCCCCUCAUAUAUACAAUAUUUCCUUUCUCCUUCACUGACUUUGGAUGUGCUCGACAUGGACGUGUGUUUCCUCCCCUGCUGGGUUUAGUAGGUCAUCGGGUGCAGUGAGUUGGCACAUCAGGGUUUUCCCCAGAUGGAGACGGUGAUUUGAGGGGAGCGACUGAGUGCAGCUGUGUCUGCUGAAAGGAGAAGGGGAGGGCCGGAGCAAUGGAGUGGAAAGAAUUGAAAAGGCUCAGCGGGGAGACAGCACAUACCUUUAACCCCCCCCCGUCCUCCUCCUCCUCUUGGUGACCGCUCUGAGCCCUUCUCCUUGUGUCAACCAAUCAGCUCUCACCAUCCACUCGUACUGUUCAGGCGUCAACAGAGCCGAGACAAAGUGUCGGUGUAUUUGGGGUAAACACACGGAUCCUGCCGUUUGGAAGAAGGCGCGGCCAUCGGUCGUCUGCCGGCAACAUAGUGGAAACGACCUGACAGCUGCAGCUCUUACAACCAGAUAAGAUUACAGAACUACACAGCUUUGCAGGAGGCCCAUUCUCUUGCUGAGACACAAGCGGAGUGCACCAAAGCGGGAUGGAAGACGAGCAAGAUAAAAAAACCGCUAAAGACAACAUGCACAGUCCCAAACUACGAUUUGAACCCGGAAUAAUCUCAACUAUGAGGCAAACAUGAUGCACUGGCUGUCCCAUUGUGAGGAUUGCCACAAACAAAGACGCCCAAGCUGAUGGAGCACUCACUUAACCCUUGCUGCAUUCUACUGACAUCUAGCGGGAGGAAAAGGAACUGCACUAACUGUGUGUGACCCAGGUGCAUGGUGAGUUCGGGCGGCCCGCUUGUUUGGUUCUGGGGCAGAAGACUACAGGUGUGAGAAGAUGUCAGCAUCAUCCUGACUUCUUUGUGACCCUCACCUCAAGCGGCGCACCAGCAGAUUGAACUCAAGCAGGCUGCUGGGGUUGUGGAUGCGCAGGGGGCCUUGCGAAAAACUAAUCUCCCGGUCCUCAAAGGAGAGAUCCGUGAGCGGCACCUCCAGCGCUCUGUCAGGGGGAAUGCGGCUGGAAGGUGAGCUGACGCAUUCCAAGAGGAUGAAGGAGUUGCGCAAGAGGAGAAGAUGCCGAGACGAUUCCUGGAGGAAGUGUGAAAGAUCCUCCUAACUACUUGCGUGCAGAAAUAUUGGUCAUCAGGAUAAAGAAUGCCCGGAAUAAAUCAUCCGACGUGCACGGCCGAUUUAAAUGUCAUCGGAUCGGCGGUAAAGUCACAAAGGCCUCCUCCGAGUCGUCGGUGGACCAAUGACCGGCCCCCCUGCAGAGUGCCCUCUAUCUCACCUUGAUCAAUCCACGAAAUGGCCAUGAUUGCUGGAGAUACAACAGCACAUUAAGUUGAUUUAUCGAGGCAAUCUCUGAUUUGUGCAGGAUGCUGCAAGGUGUGGGUGUCUAUCUUCUCUGAGCUCCUUCUGCUCGGCCAUCGCCUCUUCCCCGCCCUCCUCCUUCUCUUUGGCCUCCUCGUCUGUUGGCUUCCGGCCGGCCCCCUGCUUGUCCCGGAAGACCUCCACGCCCAGCAUGCGUAGGUAGUGGUACCUCUCGUUGCGGGGGACGAAGGCCCGGAUGGACGUCUUUCCUCUCCAGCCGCACAGUUGGAUGGGACACUGAGGCUCUGCUGGCUUACUGGCAAACGAAAGCAGUGUGACUCACGCGCAGACGCCAUCUUGUUUAUCACUGGAACUUGCUCCUUUGGGUGCUCCCUCCUGGGCCUCCUCCACGUCUGCUUUGCUCUCAGCGCCGCCUUCCUGCAUCUGCUCCCCUUCGGGAAGACUGGGAGACUCUGCAGGAGCCACCAGGGAGCUUUGCGUUUGGGCUUCGGAGCCAGACGGGGCCUCUUUUCUCAGCUGGAAAUGAGCAGGACAAGUCGAGAUCAUCUGUGAAAUGACAAAAUACCUUGGGAUAUCUCUUGUUCCAAGGCAUUGGGGCUUUCUUCAUAAGCACAGCCACAAAGAACCCUCCCGUGUUCUGGUGAUGCGGCAGAAUCCUCAUACUGAGGAGAAAAGACUCUCUUCAAAUGUGACAUUUCAAUUUCAAUUCAUUUGUUUUCCCACACUGCAGAAGUCAUUAUGUCACUAAAUGCAGCCAAGCGUAUCAUUAUUUGAGUAUUUAUUCUGGUGAUAUUGCUAAAGUAAUGUGCCUUGGCGCAAAUAAAACCUGGUAAACACUGGUAUAGAGCUAAAUUGAGAUUUACCCCCCAAGCAUUUAAUAAAGCAAAGUAUGUGCCAACAGUGCCCCCUGCAGGUCAGUCCCUACCAUCUCUCCAGAUGCAUGCCAGCCAGCUUUUCUGCAUCUGUUGGUGGAAACAUGGUGGGCCUGAUUUGAGUGUGGCGACUGGUGGGAACCUCCGACCAGUCGGCGUACCACUUGCCCUCUUUAGUCAUCAGCUGGGGAGAUAGGGCAAUCAUUUUCAGCACAUUAUCCGACCAUUUGACAUCGUAGCGAUUAAAAUAACAUCUUCAUACCUUCCAGGAAGUCACGCCGGGCAUCCACUUCAAGCCGGGCAUGUCGGAAGAGCAGUCGACCAACUCCAAUGCUCCUUAUGGGACAAGCGAGUGAGUGCCGCUAUGACAGCUUCGUCCUCGAUGGGGUUGAGGGAACAGGUGGAGUAGACCAUCCUGCCACCCACGGCCAGCUGUUCGACGCCACGCACAGCGAUACGCAUCUGGAGACUUGUGAGGGGAAAC